rnacentral:rRNA from 1 species
CCCCUAGAUGUUCUGGGCCGCACGCGCGCUACAAUGGCAGACUCAGCGAGUUACCUCUGUCGAAAGGCACAGGGAAUCUUUACAGUAUCUGCCGUGAUGGGGAUAGACCCUUGUAAUUUUUGGUCUUCAACGAGGAAUUCCUAGUAAACGCAAGUCAUUAACUUGCAUUGAUUACGUCCCUGCCCUUUGUACACACCGCCCGUCGCACCUACCGAUUGAAUGGUCCGGUGAAGUCCUCGGACCCAGUUGAACCUCGAGUUGAACAGGGAAAGUUGACUAAAUCUUACCAUUUAGAGGAAGGUGAAGUCGUAACA